GGUUCGUUGGUUAAGCACAUGUCUUCGGUUCUGAAGUAGACUACAUGAUCAUCGUCCUCAAAAACAUCCUCUCAGUCAUGAUUGCUCAAUUUUAAGGGAAGAUUGGUGGCUGGAUCAUUUCAAGGUAAAAGGGGACAUGCUGAUGGAAAACAUAGCGAGGCUCGUUUUAAUCAUCCUAAAAGGACUUAGAAUGGAUGAUAAAGGGAAUGUUUAUGUCGCUGAUACUUUGAACCUAGCCAUAAUUGGAAUUCAGAUGUCACUACUAUAACUGGAGGAAAAUCAUAUGUAGCUGGGUUGUAGAGAUGGGCUAUGCUCAGUCCUAUGCCACAUAAGAGGGAUCAAGGCGUCGCCAUCAAGGCAGCAGCAUCAGAUACAGUGAAGCCUGUAGAGUACAAUAUGAUAAUGAAGGAUUGUUGCUUUGUUUCAUACUCUAAUUUGCUUUUUGUUGCUGUUAAAGAAUUUUCUCUCUAUGUGUUUCCUUUUAAAUCCACAGCUUUUCUUCCAAAAUAUAAAUCUAUUCACCACAAAAAAAAAAUGACUUCUUUUGGUAAGAAUAUCCGUGGCUGAUUGUUUCCUGCUACUUGUUGCAGGGUCAGUGAAAGCUGAAAACAAGACCAGCAAAGAGUUUUGAGACCAUGGUCCUUAGUACAGGUAUGACAUUUGUAGCUUUUCUAGAAUUGAUCUUGCAUUCUAACAUUAGGAUGUACAAAUGAGUAUAUUCAAGGGACUAAAGGUAGAAUGAGCAGAAUACAGUUUCGAAAGGGAAAAAGAAUAAAAACAUGAAACAAUGUGUGGAAUAUCUCCAAUUAAGGUCCAAAUUUGCUGAAUGCCCAUAAUUAUGGAUAACCCAAAAAGGAGUAACUUUUUGAUACUGUGCGGACGAAAAUGCCCUUAUGCUUUGUCGAAAACAAAUAACUCUAGAUCUAUCAGCUAAAUAUUUACAUAGCAGGUAACAAUCUACAUACCAACUAACAUAUCCGCUAAUAAUUUCAGUAUCAUCUAACAAUCUAUGUAUCAAACAAAUGUAUCGACUAACAAAUCAUAUAUCAGUUAAUGAAACUAUUAACAAUUAAUUAGUUAUCUA